rnacentral:rRNA from 1 species
UGAUCUCAAUGAUUCGAGGGAACUUUAUCGCUCGAGAGUCCGGAGGCUAUAUAAAAAAGUAACAACGGGGAGACAGGGUACCUAGGCAAAACAGUCCAGCCAAGUAAAAGUGGCCACUGUUUACUCAACUCAAAGAGGUACUCCAGUAGAAGGAGUUGGUCUGGGUGCUUAAGGUAGGUAUAGAACGCGGCGGCGGCGGAGAGAGGAGACGGAGCGGCAUGGAAGGUGCGCCUAAACACACUAGAGGCCCGCGCCAUGAGUCGGACACCCGCCGAGGGGCGCCGUCCCUCCGCGCCGUGGAGUACGGCGGGUACAAGGAGAGAGCGAGAGUGGUAGUGCGGUGGCUAGGGGAGGGGAGGAGGUGGGUCGCCUACGAGGCUGGAGAGAAGAGGAGGAGUACCUACGCAAGGGAGUGGAGAGCGCCGCGGAGGAACCGAGUAGGCGACCCGCUUGAGGUAUUGGGAGAGCCGGGAAGGAAGAGAACGGGGGAACCGCGCGUGGUUUGAGGGUACACGAAGGGGAUCGCCUGGUGUAGUCUAAGUGGACUUGAAACUAGCAACAAAAAGAAAAGAAAAGUACCGAAAGAACUAGAAACGAUGAACCACAACUCGUACCUGCCAGUCGUGUUGUCAUACCUCUAGGUUUGGAAAUGAAAUACAGACUUGACAAGUACCGAGUUCAGUGUAUCCAAACACGAAGAAAUAAGACUUGAAAAGUGCCAAGUUCAGUGUAUCGAAACACGAACGCUCAGGCAGUAGCAACAUAGAAAACUAUCUUGGAUGAGGGAGGCAAGGUUUUAUCUACUGGGUUGAAACAUGGUUUCAAUCAUGUUUCAACCCAGUAGAUAAAACCUUGCCUCCCUGAUAUAAUGAACUAAUAACAGGACAAGCUCAUGUACAUGUACAGAAUAAGAUGUCCACUCCACAUCAAAUAAAUGUCCUAUAAGUUCCAUUAUAACUACAUUAAAGAGGUACUUUUGUCUUGAAUGCCUUUAACUUUACUUGUAUAAUCAAAACUUCCAAUACGUCCAUUUAAUGGUAGUAUUUCUUAACGAUGAAUAUUCAGCUCUUGAUUGACUUCGAAGAAGUUGGAUUGUGUUAAACGAUGAGUUACUUAAAGACGUAUAGACUUCGAACGUUUAUAAGACUGUGUUGAAGAAAUACGACUUCUUAAUAGACUUACACAGUUCGGAGGUCAAUGUCCUAGUAUAUACUAACCCUGGAAAACCCACUCACACCCUCUCCCUAAUCCCCCCAUCAUCCAAGUUCAACAACAUUACACUUGAUUUAUCAUAAACGAGUAAGAAAAAAUACGGUAACAACAACAAAAACUUACUAUAGAGUUAGUCUGUAUCACAGCUACGUUUACACACGUAUAAAUAAUCGCAUAAGUAGGUAAAGAGGAUAAACAAGUACCGCAUUUCGUAUCAGGACACUAGACUUCAGUAUCUUAAUGAAAAAACAAGAUAACAACAAAAAGACCCGUUUAGUAGAUAGAACGAAUAACUGAAGAAAAAUAAAACAAGUCCUUUCCAGUAUGGCCAAAACUCAAGAGAGGACACUUUACAAAAACCUAGUUCUACCAAAAUCUGAAAGUCCUCCUUAAGCAUACAUCCAAAUAUAAGGGAACACCUACUUUUCCCACUACCUCAUGUGACAGAACACGGGUUUCCGAAUGAAAGGUUUUAAGUCGUCGACUGCAGACUUCCAGCACAUACAAUAGAUGUCAAGAAAGUCUGAUCGGGGCGCUUUUCCGUCCGAACUCUAUAAAGUCCAGUUCUAAGUUGACCAGCUAAGACCCAUGUCUUAAGAACUCCAACUAGUCAUACAACUUACGUAACGACUUACUCCUGCAGCUAAACUCUGCCUGUUCCUUAGAUGAUACGUGGCGUGUUGAUACAGAGCCGUGUUGUCUAUGGCGGAGGUUGUUCGUUCUCGCUUCGGUUGCCUUCCUUUGUGGUGGUUUGCGUUGAAUUUAUUUUGUGUUGCGUUACCUUAACUUUGGUACCACUUGGUUGACUGGUACUAUUAGGUGCUUCUUUUUUCCCUUCAACUUGGGUCUUAGAUUUUUGCCGUGCCGUUUCGCGCGCAGUGGAAGAUCACGUUAGAUACGAACCACCUUACAUGAGAUUAAGCCGUGAGUGUUUAUAAGCGGAGGUCCGGUGGUAAUCAGAAAAGAAAGCGUGCAUCAACCGUACAGCAAGGAAAAAAAGUAUCAAAUUGGCGUGAUUUUGGCCAAGACAUUAGUAUUAAGAUGAAAAGCUUUAUCUUUCUGUUGCGAAUACGAUCAA